UGUCUGGGCUCAGGAUGGGUGCCGCUUAGGCUCCGGCUAUUGUUGCGCGGGCUGAUGUCAUCCUGGCUCAGCGUGAGCUGCCGGCAAACGCAGCCCAGUCUCGACCCCGCUUGGCUUCUGCGGCUGUUUUGGGAAUGAACAAUGCAAUUAAGACUGAAUUUCAUAUCCAAGGGGAUCAAGACCUUGAUCCAGAAGCAUGAGGGACGACUCUCUUAACUUCUGUAAGAGCUUCUGGAGUUCGUCCUUGGAAAAUAUCUGCAAGAUAGGAAAAAUCACAAUCUGAGAUAAAAUAUCUAUUUUUUUUUGCCUGGAAAGCUGGUGACCAAAGAUAAAAUUAUUUUAAUGAAAUAUC